UUCCAGGUCGCGGAUAUGAAGACUAUGUUCAAGGUCGCGGAUAUGAAGACUAUGUUCAAGGUCGCGGAUAUGAAGACUAUGUUCAAGGGUGAAUGAAAGGCAUGGUUCUUGGACGUUGAAGAAAGGACUCUACGGUUGCAUCAUCAUGGAGGAUCGCUUCUGGCCAUGUUUUGAACCCCUCAUCACAUAACACGUCAAUCGUAACCGUAUUUGCUUGAAUGAAUAAAAAUACGUAAAUAUGAA
rnacentral:lncRNA from 1 species